AUUGAACGCUGGCGGCGUGCUUAACACAUGCAAGUCGAUCGGUAACAGGUGUAGCAAUACAUGCUGACGAGAGGCGGACGGGUGAGUAAUGCUUGGGAAUCUGCCUAUUAGUGGGGGACAACCCGGGGAAACUCGGGCUAAUACCGCAUACGCUCUACGGAGGAAAGCCGGGGACCGCAAGGCCUGGCGCUAAUAGAUGAGCCCAAGUCGGAUUAGCUAGUUGGUAGGGAACGGCCUACCAAGGCGACAAUCCGUAGCUGGUCUGAGAGGACGACCAGCCACACCGGAACUGAGACACGGUCCGGACUCCUACGGGAGGCAGCAGUGGGGAAUAUUGGACAAUGGGCGCAAGCCUGAUCCAGCGAUGCCGCGUGUGUGAAGAAGGCCUGCGGGUUGUAAAGCACUUUCAGUAGGGAAGAAAGACCGAGUGCUAAUAUCACUCGGUCUUGACGUUACUUACAAGAAGAAGCACCGGCUAACUCCGUGCCAGCCGCCGCGGU
rnacentral:rRNA from 1 species